rnacentral:rRNA from 1 species
UUGAACGCUGGCGGCAGGCCUAACACAUGCAAGUCGAGCGGAUGAAGGGAGCUUGCUCCUGGAUUCAGCGGCGGACGGGUGAGUAAUGCCUAGGAAUCUGCCUGGUAGUGGGGGAUAACGUCCGGAAACGGGCGCUAAUACCGCAUACGUCCUGAGGGAGAAAGUGGGGGAUCUUCGGACCUCACGCUAUCAGAUGAGCCUAGGUCGGAUUAGCUAGUUGGUGGGGUAAAGGCCUACCAAGGCGACGAUCCGUAACUGGUCUGAGAGGAUGAUCAGUCACACUGAGACGGAGACACGGUCCAGAGUGACAGGGGGGGAGGAAGGGGGAAUGAGUAGAGACAGAGCGAAGGCGAGAGCAGGAGAUGGUGGGUGUGUGAAGAGGGUGUUCGGUGUGGAAAGAUGUGUGGGGUGGGAAGAAGGGCAGUAAGUUAAUGCUUUGUUGUAUUGACGUUAAAAACAGAAGAAGCAGCGGAUAACGUCGGGCCGGAAGGCAGGUAAGCAUGGGAGACGGACACGUCUGAAC